rnacentral:ncRNA from 3 species
AGGUCCCGGGUUCAAAUCCCGGACGAGCCCCCA